UUUCUUUCAUUCAUUUAUUUAUGAGAGGCAGAGACCCAGGCAGAGGGAGAAGCAGGCUACAUGCAGGGAGCCCGAUGUGGGACUCGACCCCAGGUCCCCAGGAUCAAGCCCUGGGCCGAAGGCAGGUGCUAAACCGCUGGGCCACCCAGGAAUCCCCCCUCCGUGACUCUCUCUGCCAUUUUUACCACGAUGGUAACAUAAGCACCCUGGGCUAAAGAGACUCUCCUGGAACAAAACCUCUUUGAGGGAUUCCCAACCUUUCAUGGCAUCAACAUCCAGGAUCCAUGCAAGAAUGCUAAGAGGAAAGCAACUUCCAGGGAACCUGAAGCCAGUGGGCUACUCCUGUUUUAGCCUUGGGUGCCAAGGACUCACUCUUCACCUCCAGGGUAUGAAGCGGUGGUGGUUCCAGGAUCCCAGGGCAAGGGGCAGGGUCAACAACCUGGAUGAAUCAGGAGGGGACGUAGCCUUAAGGGUAUUUACUUGAGCAAUUAGCUGCUUCCAGAGAUUUGACCUUGGUUCUACAAGGCUGAAGCAGCGCCUUGGCACCCUCCCGGAACCCUUCCUACUGGACUUCACAGGGUUGCAGAAUUGUGAGCCUGGUACUGCCGUCCCUCCACCAAUCAUGCACUCCCUUCUCUGAGCCUCAAACACCUAGCACCCCCGGGGUAAUCUAGGAUUUACUUCAUUGCUGAGCAGCAUGUGCAUUGUGUGCGUAAAAUUGCUUUUCACCUUCCAACCAUCUUCAAAGUCUCUGUUUAGUCCCUGGCCCUAGGAAUGAUAUUUUACAUUCUUUUUGUGUAGUCCUACUUCUAAAUGAUCAACUGGUCUAGUUUAUAUUAGUUUUGGGGCCUCUUCCCCUUGCUUUUUAGCAUAUUGCUAGAGGGCGUAGACAUUAAAACAACAGGUAAGAGAUGGUCACUGUUAUAAACCAGGAGAAUAGGAGUCAUAGCUCAGCCCCAUUCCCAGGGUUGGCCCGCAGAUCCACUUCCUGCUCAGGCCUCCGUCUGGUGUGAAAACUAUAUGGAUUAUAAAAAGAAGGUACAAGUACAUGACGUUUCAUGGAGGCAAAGUGUCAUUCUUUGAAAAUCUUUUCCCUUCUUUUGCAAUUUAUUUUAUUUUCUAAGCUUGUUUUACACGCCUAUUGGUCUCUUCUUUAGAAAAAUAGAAUAUAUAAAGAGAAUAAGCCAUAAUCUCAUAACUCAGAUAUUUUUCUGUGCAUAUGAAUGCAUAAUAUAUAAGUUGUCAGUACCAGACAUAAUUUCCUAUGAUCAGGUUUUUUAGAUUAAUAAUACAUCAUGAACAUAUUUCCAUGUCUGUACCCUCAGAGCAAUGGUAUCGUCACUAAUGACUGUGUGGUGUUUUAUUUUAUCAUUAGGCCAUAUUACAGGUCCUUUACUGUCAGAUAUAUAGGUUGUUCCUGAUAUUUGCAAUGCCCCCGUGAUUGUGCACGUACACAUCCGUUUGUCCACUGAUUUCUUUAAGAUAAAUCGUAGAAAAGGAAAUGUGAGGUCAGAGGCAGCCUGACUUUUAAAGGCUUUUGGUAACAUGCCAUAUUGGUCUCUGCAAGGGUUACACCAAGUUACUCUCUCGUUAGCACUUUAUAAAAAUGUUCUUUCUUUAUACUCUUGCCACUCCUGGGUGUUUUAAUUCUGUUUUUAAUUUAAAGGCCAAGGAGGAGGCAUCUCAGAGGGCUUGAGCUCUCCCUCAGUAGGGCUACAUUAGAUUUAUGGGGUGAAGAUUUGUUAGCCAGGGCCAGAGUCAUGGGAAUGCGGGCCUGUUUUUUUCUAUUACCAUGAAAUCUAUGAAUCAGAUCAAAUAACUAUUUCAGUCACUACCAAUACAGCCACAUUUCAGAGACAAUCCAAACUGGAAAAAGCUAUAUACUUUUCAUCAGAAAAUUCCCAUGGAUGUGAUAAUAGCAAAUACCCUUUUAGUUCUCUUAAGAUUGAGGCAAUGAUAUUGUUUCACUUGAGAUUACGUAUCUCAUUUUAGACUGUGGGGAAUCUAAUUUAUAGAUAUGUUUCCAGGAAUAAGCAGAACUCCAUUUGUUCCUAAAUAAAAAUAUCAAUCAUAAAGGAACAGUCACUGCAACUUAACCACAAGAUGUCAACUCUUUGUAUAUGAAUCACAGACCUGAUGGGGCUAUUUGAAACUUUACUUGUUACAAUCUGUUGCUCUGUCCAUUUAACCACCUUACAGAAGACAAUAAUUCUCAGUCCUUCUAUUAAUGAGGAGAAGUCAGAAAUAAACUUAAGUGCUGAUGGGGCCAGUUCAGAGUAAGAUAAAAAUUCCAAGUGGGACAACAAUCUAUAUGCCAGUGUUUAUACACAAUGGAAGGCAAGGAGCUGUGAUAAUUAGUCAAAGGAGUAGUUCUAUUUUCUGAUCUCCCCAAAGAUUUUAAUAUUUGCAUUUGUUCCUUUCUGGAACAGGAAACUCUACUGACCUAUGACCACUUUUUUUUUUUUUUCCCUCUUUAAAGGUCUUUGUUUCGUGAAGGACUUAGAGGUUUGGCUCCCCUAGGGGCAUCUCAGUCUUUUUAUUUCCUUACUUUCCUCUUCUCUCUUUCAACAUAAUAUUUUUGUUUGUUUUUCUGGGGGACUGGUCGCUUUACUGAAUGAGCUUUACUUCCCCCCAGGAUCUAAUUAUAGCUAGGUAUCUGGACUGGCAUCACAGCAGAAGGAAGAAGCCACGGCUCCAAAUUCUAAGAUUGAAAACAGAUUACACACUUGCCCCAUUUCUAUCCAUUUCAUACCUCACUGACAACAAGAGACACGCCAAACAAAUUCCUCAAUAUGUGCAUUUGUGGUUGUACUUUCUGAUUUUGAAAUCUGUAGCAGGCACUAAAAUGUCUUUGGGCUGUUCUACGUGUCCCUUCUUGAGGUCACCUUCUCAAUGACUAAAUUUUCUUUCGCAUUCCUCUUGUAUGGUUUCAUUAGUUCAAGCGCGGUUUUAGAUACCCAUUGUCAAGAUUACAACACUAAACUGUUUUUGGUUGCUUGCUUGGAUAGAUGUAGCUAGAAGAAUAUUUUAAACCAAAAGGGAUCCCAUUCCACCCUUGAAUGGGAUGGGUUUAAGAAACCAGGCUCCUCUUUUAAAUAUCUGAAGUCCACAUUCCCAGUAGGAGCAGAGGUCUCAUAACAAGAGAUAGUCCCUUCCUUUCAAAGUGAGCACAAGAUAGGAUCAGGACCUUUAUAGAUUUGAUCUUACUUUUGAGCUUACAUAAUAACUUACAGAAGCACAAGUUUUGAGUGUCAAACUGAAUAGUCCCUCGACAUUCUUUAAGGAUAUAUCCAAGAGACCUUUGCUCAUAAUCACUUAAAAAAAUGAUUUAUUCAUGCAUUUUAGAGAGGUGGGGGACAGGGAUGGUAGAGGGAGAGAAAGAGAGAGAGAGAAUCUCAAACAGACUUCCCACUGAGCAUGGAGCCCAACUCAGGGCUCAAUUCCAUGACCUCAAGGCCACAACCAGACCUGAAACCAAGAGUCAGAUGCCCAACCUACUGAGCCACCCAGGAGCCCCAUUAAUAAUCAACCUUCUAAUUGUCAAUGUAGUCCAUACAUUUCUGGAGAUUACUCAUGUAAAUAGGUGAAAUAUCAUCUUAUGUCAUGAGGUGGUAUUAAAUAAUAUGAAAUAUUAUUUGUAUCAAAUAAUAUCACAUAUCAAAUAAUAUCAGACUCCUUCUUCGUGAUGAUAUCUUAUCUCAUUUUUGAUGAUUCAUUCUUUCCUUUGAUAUGUAUUCAUGGUGUAUGGGUAAAUCCAGAUGACUGUCCUCCAUUUUGGGAGACAAAGUUGUCCUAAUCCAUUAUAUUUUUCUUUUGCGAAUCCUUAGCUAGUAAAUGUCGGGGGAGGGGAUGUCACCAAAAUCGGACCAAGUGAAAUGACCAAAAUUAAAGCAAACGUUUUCUUGCAUGAUCUAGACCCUCAACUAAAGAAACAUAAAUAUAAAAGAAUAGCAUUCCAUCUUUCUAGAGGCAUCAUCCAGAUGAAAAUAUUAACUGGACCUUGCUAUCAAGAUUGUCUAUAUAGAUGGUUGGCUUUGGUCAUAGUUCUGCACCAGGUACAUUAUUUUAUUCUUAUAUUCAUGCUUAUGAUUCUUUUCCAGUCAUUUCAAUGAAUUCCC
rnacentral:lncRNA from 1 species